rnacentral:sRNA from 1 species
CCUAGCCCCAAAUCGAUUCCUCAUCCUGCCCGAUGCAAGUGCCCAGCAGCAAUGGCGAUGGCAGUUGAGCGAGCUGCGGUGAUGACGAUGACGGCGUAGAAAGGGCGGAGGGCGGUAGCUGCCGGCCGGGGUUCUGCCGUCUGCGGCAUUGCACGAGAUCGGCUGGCCGUGUCUGGUGGAAGCGACGUGCAGCCCUGCGGCGGCGGCGAGCUCGCGUGUGGUGAGAGCAGAUCCAGUGGCGACCUCCAUGCUGCUCCUGCUCCUGCUGGUGCUGACGACGAUGUAGCGGAUGGGCUGCAGCUGGCCGGCUCGAGCUGUCAUCGUGGACAGUGACCCCUCCACGGCGACUCCUCCACCGCCCUCUUUUCUUCUUUUCCUUUUUUUUCCUCUGUAAUUUUGUACACCUGAUUUAACCAUUUAUUGGAGUGGCCGACGACAGCAAUUUAGCAGC